GAUGAACGCUGGCGGUCUGCUUAACACAUGCAAGUCGAACGAACUCUUCGGAGUGAGUGGCGGACGGGUGAGUAACGCGUGAGAAUCUGCCUGUGGGUCGGGGACAACCACUGGAAACGGUGGCUAAUACCGGAUGAGCCGAAAGGUAAAAAAUUUAUUGCCCACAGAUGAGCUCGCGUCUGAUUAGCUAGUUGGUAAGGUAAAAGCGUACCAAGGCGACGAUCAGUAGCUGGUCUGAGAGGAUGAGCAGCCACACUGGGACUGAGACACGGCCCAGACUCCUACGGGAGGCAGCAGUGGGGAAUUUUCCGCAAUGGGCGAAAGCCUGACGGAGCAAGACCGCGUGGGGGGAGGAAGGUUUUUGGAUCGUAAACCCCUUUUGUCAAGGAAGAAGUUCUGACGGUACUUGACGAAUAAGCCUCGGCUAACUCCGUGCCAGCAGCCGCGGUAAUACGGAGGAGGCAAGCGUUAUCCGGAAUGAUUGGGCGUAAAGCGUCUGUAGGUGGCCAGCUAAGUCUGCUGUUAAAGAUCACAGCUCA
rnacentral:rRNA from 1 species